CCCCGCCAUCACCUCGGCGAUGCAGUAACCUGCGGUGCCAGGACAGGCCGCCCCGCCCGCGACAGCGUCCCCUGCCCGGCUCGGGGCGGCGGCCGGCAUGUGUGGCUAAGGUUACCCAGCCAGAAAGUGGUGAACGUUUCCGUAGCUUUUGGAUUUUUGUACCAACACGCCCUAUGACACUUAUGUAGCAGGGUGGCUUGCCCAGAGGCUGGAAAGCCUGGGACUAAGGCAGCCCCAAUUACAAGAUGAGUACCACCUGAGAGGAAUCAAGGACUCCAAUAUAAAAGAUAGCAGGAAGGUGGGAAAGGCUAAUUUUAUGAGACCGGAGCACUGCUUCCCUUCCUGAUUACAAUCUGGCUCCCCAAACUGUUCUCUGAUUUUGAUCCUUCUCUCUUGGAGAGCCAGUCAGCAGCCCUUCAAAACACCUGAAGUUUCAAAUAAGCAAUAUGUGUGGAGCUUCUAUCUUGGAAUUCAAGCCUUUGUGUCUCAGUGCAUCCAGUAUGUUCUUUUUGGUCUUUGUCCCAAGACAAACUCCAUCAAAUAGUGUUAAAAUAAAUUAUCUCAUAUCAUACAAUUUCAAGGUAAUAAGGACCCUUCUGCACAGUUGCAAGUAUUCAAAGGCCAAACUUUUUCAGUGAAAUCCUUGUCCCAUUUAAGUUAAUGGCAUUUGAUAUCAAUAGAAUCAGAAAGUCACCUUAUGUUUCUACUAAGUAGAUAUGCCUUACUUUCAAAUACUAAUCUCUGCCACUUGCAAUGAAAAAUGCCACACUAGUAAAAUAGAUACAUUGUAUCUUAGUUUAUUUCUCUUAUUUUUUAAAAGCUGUCUAUUUUCAUUACUUUCUUUAAUUUUGUUAAUGGCUACUUUGUAUAAAUAACCUAGAAGAUCCAACAUGAAACCACAUUUACUUUAUAUUUUAAAAUUAAAAACCAAAAAUGCUGCAGUAAUGACACUUUCAUUAUUGAUGAGGAAAACAUUUUUCUUCUUUAAUGAGAAGUACUUUGUUAUAUUUAAUUACAUUAACUUACACAUUUCUGAAAAAAUGACCAUGGGCUAAAAUUGCUUGUAUUUACUUUGAGCCUAAAUGUGAAUUUGUUUGGUAAGAUUCCAUUAGAAUAUUCUUGCUCUAUCCCAAGGAGGGAAAGGGGUUGUUCAUGAGUUAACACCUUCUGAAAAAUGUACCAUUUUGUAUUUAGAUAACUAUCUUUAAAAAAUUCAGAUUCAUCAUGGAUUUAGGGCUAGAUCUACAAAAUAACUUAGUUGCCUAAUUGCUACUUUUGGCAUCUGUGAGAUCUAAAUCCUUACUCAACUGCUGCCUGACUCUGUGCCUGAAGUCCCUAGGCAUCUGAUUUUCCACUAUUAGAGUCCCCUAGAUAUCCAUGUUUCUGCCAGUUAACAUACACACAGCUGCCUCAAUUUGGGUUUUUGGGUGCCUAUUUCACCCAUAAGCCCCAGUGGGAUCCUUAGAGGUGCUGCUCCAUCUGUUUCACCCGUGGGGCCCAGCCCAGUAGACAAUCUCAAAACAUGUAACCCCACACAAAACAGCCAGAGGAGAAUGUGGAGCUUGUGCCCCCCCCCCCCCCGGCCUUUUAGCUCCAUGGCUAGAGCACUCACCUGGGACAUGGGCUCACAGGGGACUGGAACCAGGGUCUUUCUCUGACUCAAUGCAUAUUUUAAUUAUUUAUGUACAGUGGAACAGCUUCAACAGGAGAGAUUGAGUGAGACUUGCCCUUGAAUACCCCAUAGCCCAAUGGUUAAGGCACUCUUGCAAGGUAGGAGACCAGAGGCGGCUCCAGGCACCAGCACGCCA